AUUUUCGUCUAAACAAUGCUUCGUUAUUCUCUUGCAAUUCACUAAUAAGAAAUGCGCUGUGAUCGUCGGAUUUUCAACUUAAAUGGUGCAGUGGAAAAAUGUGCCGAAUAUACCAACCGAUGGGAACAAGGAAGAUCCGGAUAUUGGAUCCCAGUUUAAAGAAGAAAAGCAGGAGAAAAGUCAUUCCCCAUGGUCGUCUAGGCAUGCGAUUUCAUCUUCCGGAGUAAGUCGGACGAUCUGGAGCAAGAUCCGGAACUUGAUCCUCGGCAAAUGGUGGAUUAAAAUUCAAUUUUGAUAUUUCCCGAAUCACGAUUUGACUGCAGUAGCUCAAGAGUUGUAGGAUCCCCAAGCCGGGAGAGUACAGCAUCAUACGUGACC